rnacentral:lncRNA from 1 species
CACAGAGAGACGCAGUCACCCACAGCCUCGGGACACAGGAGAAGUUAUCAUGGCCAGAGUCCCUGACAUGUUUGAGGAGCUCAAUCCCUGCAACAGUGAAAAUGAGGGAUUUAUUUUGGAUACUGACCAAGUCUCACUGAGUCAGGUAAGGCAGUGCUUGUCAAUCUCCUAAGAUUUCUGUGCUUGGAGAAAUGUGAUCGGUUGUUCUUAUCU